GAUAUGUUGGUUCAAGCCUGCAGUCGUGCCUGGUAGGCAAAUCCGCCGGGCUUAGAUGAGGGGUGAUAACGAGUCUGCUUGCAGACGAAGUGAGUGAUACCCAGCUUCCAGGAAAAGCCACUAAGCUUCAGCUACACACGACCGUACCGCAAACCGACACUGGUGCGCGAGAUGAGUAUUCUAAGGCGCUUGAGAGAACUCAGGAGAAGGAACUCGGCAAAUUGAUACCGUAACUUCGGGAGAAGGUAUGCCCCAAGUAGGUGAACUCGAACAGAGGGAGCCCAACGGGGUUGCAAAAAAUCGGUGGCUGCGACUGUUUAAUAAAAACACAGCACUCUGCAAACACGAAAGUGGACGUAUAGGGUGUGACGCCUGCCCGGUGCUGGAAGAUUAAAUGAUGGGGUGCAAGCUCUUGAUUGAAGUCCCAGUAAACGGCGGCCGUAACGAUAACGGUCCUAAGGUAGCGAAAUUCCUUGUCGGGUAAGUUCCGACCUGCACGAAUGGCGUAACGAUGGCCACACUGUCUCCUCCUGAGACUCAGCGAAGUUGAAAUGUUUGUGAUGAUGCAAUCUCCCCGCGGAAAGACGGAAAGACCCCAUGAACCUUUACUGUAGCUUUGUAUUGGACUUUGAACAGAUCUGUGUAGGAUAGGUGGGAGGCUUUGAAGUGAUGUCGCUAGAUGUCAUGGAGCCAACGUUGAAAUACCACCCUGGUGUGUUUGAGGUUCUAACCUAGGUCCAUUAUCUGGAUCGGGGACAGUGCAUGGUAGGCAGUUUGACUGGGGCGGUCUCCUCCCAAAGCGUAACGGAGGAGUUCGAAGGUACGCUAGUUACGGUCGGACAUCGUGACGAUAGUGCAAUGGCAUAAGCGUGCUUAACUGCGAGACUGACAAGUCGAGCAGAUGCGAAAGCAGGACAUAGUGAUCCGGUGGUUCUGUAUGGAAGGGCCAUCGCACAACGGAUAAAAGGUACUCUGGGGAUAACAGGCUGAUACCGCCCAAGAGUUCAUAUCGACGGCGGUGUUUGGCACCUCGAUGUCGGCUCAUCUCAUCCUGGGGCUGUAGCCGGUCCCAAGGGUAUGGCUGUUCGCCAUUUAAAGAGGUACGUGAGCUGGGUUUAAAACGUCGUGAGACAGUUUGGUCCCUAUCUUCCGUGGGCGCUGCAGAUUUGAGGAAGCCUGCUCCUAGUACGAGAGGACCGGAGUGGACACACCUCUGGUGUAUCGGUUGUCACGCCAGUGGCAUUGCCGAGUAGCUAAGUGUGGAAGAGAUAACCGCUGAAAGCAUCUAAGCGGGAAACUCGUUUCAAGAUGAGAUCUGCCGGGGCCUUGAGCCCCCUGAAGAGUCGUUCAAGACCAGGACGUUGAUAGGUCAGGUGUGGAAGC
rnacentral:rRNA from 1 species